rnacentral:tRNA from 1 species
GUCCUUGUAGUGCUCUUUGGACUUCUAAUCCAAAGGUCGUGGGUUCGAAUCCCACCUAGGAUG